AAGUAAUGAAGUAAAAUUUACAUUUAGUUUCGACCUAAUAAAAGAGUUAAAUCUCCUUACUUA
rnacentral:tRNA from 1 species